AGUGAACGCUGGCGGUAGGCCUAACACAUGCAAGUCGAACGGCAGCACAGUAAGAGCUUGCUCUUACGGGUGUCGAGUGGCGGACGGGUGAGGAAUACAUCGGAAUCUACUUUUUCGUGGGUGAUAACGUAGGGAAACUUACGCUAAUACCGCAUACAACCUACUGGUGAAAGCAGGGGUUCUUCUAACCUUUCGCUAUGGAAAGAGCCGAUGUCGGAUUAGCUAGUUGGCGGGUUAAAGGCCCACCAAGGCGACGAUCCGUAGCUGGUCUGAGAGGAUGAUCAGCCACACUGGAACUGAGACACGGUCGAGACUCCUAGGGGAGGCAGCAGUGGGGAAUAUUAGACAAUGGGCGAAAGCCUGAUACAGGCAUACCGCGUGGGUGAAGAAGGCCUUCGGGUUGUAAAGCCCUUUUGUUGGGAAAGAAAAGCAGCAGGUUAAUACCCCGCUGUUCUGACGGUACCCAAAGAAUAAGCACCGGCUAACUUCGUG
rnacentral:rRNA from 1 species